UGUGCAUCUGCGCAUAGAGAAAAUGUCAUGU
rnacentral:piRNA from 1 species